AUUGAACGCUGGCGGCAGGCCUAACACAUGCAAGUCGAACGGUAACAGGAAGCGGCUUGCUGCUUUGCUGACGAGUGGCGGACGGGUGAGUCAUGUCUGGGAAACUGCUUGAUUGAGGGGGAUAACUACUGGAAACGGUAGCAAAUACCGCAUAACGCCGCAAGACCAAAGUGGGGGACCUUCGGGCCUCUUGCCAUCCCAUGUGCCCAGCUGGGUGUAGCUAGUAGGUGGGCUAACGGCUCACCUAGGCGACGACCCGUAGUAGGUCUGAGAGGAUGACCGGCCACACUGGAACUGAGACACGGUCCAGACUCCUACGGGAGGCAGCAGUGGGGAAUAUUGCGCAAUGGGCGCAAGCCUGAUGCAGCCAUGCCGCGUGUGUGAAGAAGGCCUUCGGGUUGUAAAGUACUUUCAGCGGGGAGGAAGGGAGUAAAGUUAAUACCUUUGCUAAUUGACGUUACCCGCAGAAGAAGCACCGGCUAACUACGUG
rnacentral:rRNA from 1 species